rnacentral:sRNA from 1 species
GGUUAAUGGAAAAAACUUAAGAUUGCGCGCCUUAUUCUCAUCUGUGCAUUAUAUGUGACGUGUCACUCAGGCACCGUCCAUUAGAAGAUCAAGAGACAUUUUUAUCUUAUCAUUUAUAAUGUAAUUACCCCUUUUCUCUGUCUGUCUGCAUACAUUAAUUUCUUUGCCCUGUUUAACCAUACAGAGAUUAGGAAUAUGUUUGAUGUGAUUAUUAAGGAUGUAGACAUCUCUCUUUUGCAUCUAACAAUCACACACAAUGCGAUGGCAUCAGAUUGAACAUUUACUUGUCGGAUACUAAUUAGCUCUCAAAUCAUAAUAUGAUCAAAAGAACAGACGAAAAAACACUGUUGAUAAUUGGUACAUGUAUAUGCAUACCAGUGUAUAUUUGAAGCUUUUAAAAGUACAAAUGCUUGCCAAGGGUGUUCAUGCAUUGUCAAAUAUGUCUAAUACGAGAAAGGUCAUAUUAAAACCUUCUUAGGAAAGUCGGGGGUUUGCAUGCCUGGGAAUUAUUAUGCAGUAUUUUCAAUAAUAGAACUGCAAUGCAUAGUGAAAUCUCUAUUUUGAUAUUUGAACUCUACCCUGAACAGAGUCCAACAAGGCUCAAUGACACAGCAGAAAUUCUUAUCUCUCUGUCUUUGAUUUUAAUUCAUUCCAUCUACAGUGGUAAAAAUCCACAGAAAUUCUGAUAAUUGAUAGCAGGUGAUUUGGAAAAUUUCUCAAAGCACUUUGACUUUUUAAACAUAAAAACCCAAGAAAUUAUGACUUGACAAUUUUUGAUAAUUUAGAUCUUUUGAGACUUGGAUACAAGAAAACUUCCAGGCAUUAAAAUCUGGGAUAUUUUGUAGUUCAGUAUUGAUAGUUGUCUAGCCAUAUAGGUGUAAAUUCGUUACCUAUGCACCCCCCUCCCCC